GUUUGUCGUUGGCGUCUUCCGUCUGUCAUGCUGGAACUGAUGUCAUCCCAUCUAGCUUUCUCUUUGGAGCUGCCAUCCAUGGGACUUGGUGGCCUAUCUAUGUCUGGUGCCGUGUCACAUAUAGAGGGACUAUGUACAUAUGAGCUUUCACUGCAACUGAAGUAUGGGCACAAUAUACAACAUGCUGUCUGGUAUCCUAAUGCAAUUGCAUUGCUUCAGGCAAAGAACAAGAAAUAGGUAUAUAAAGAAAUUUAGAUGGAUCCUGCACAAAGCUUCCCCGAAGUCCCAAAGCUAAAUUGACAUUUGAGGACAUUGCCACUGUGGUCGGUGAUUUCGAAGUUCCGCAACCGGUCAAGGACCUACUGUUGGCUGCCCCUUCAGCUUUCUUACAGCUUCCACCCUAUAUAUGUGACAUGGUGCCGGAUAUAGAUGGGCUGUUGGGUCCUGUGGAUGGCAGUUCUGGAGGGAAGGUUGGAUGGGAUGGUGUCGGUUCCGGCAUGACGGAUGGGGGACGCCAGCGACAGGCAUCUGCUGGGCAUGGAGCUUUGCUGGGAUGCGCCAGGGACUGGAUGGGCAGUGUCUCGAUUGUGUGCGCUGGGGAUGGC
rnacentral:lncRNA from 1 species